rnacentral:rRNA from 1 species
GACGAACGCUGGCGGCGUGCUUAACACAUGCAAGUCGAACGGAAAGGCCCUGCUUUUGUGGGGUGCUCGAGUGGCGAACGGGUGAGUAACACGUGAGUAACCUGCCCUUGACUUUGGGAUAACUUCAGGAAACUGGGGCUAAUACCGGAUAGGAGCUCCUGCUGCAUGGUGGUGGUUGGAAAGUUUCGGCGGUUGGGGCUGGACUCGCGGCUUAUCAGCUUGUUGGUGGGGUAGUGGCUUACCAAGGCUUUGACGGAUAGCCGGCCUGAGAGGGUGACCGGCCACAUUGGGACUGAGAGACGGCCCAGACUCCUACGGGAGGCAGUAGUGGGGAAUAUUGCACAAUGGGCGGAAGCCUGUUGCAGCAACGCUGCGUGCGGGAUGCCGUCCUUCGGGUUGUAAACCGCUGUCGCCGGUGACGAAGCGUGAGUGACGGUAAUGGGUAAAGAAGCACCGGCUAACUACGUG